rnacentral:ncRNA from 1 species
UUUUGCAUUAUGCGAAAGACUUAUGCGGAUACAACCGCGUACCCAGGAGAACUGGGAUUGGACUCCUUUAAAGGAGAAAACAAAUG